rnacentral:rRNA from 1 species
ACCCCUGUGAACAUACCUAUCGUUGCUUCGGCGGAUCCGCCCCGGUGCCUUCGGGCCCGGACUCAGGCGCCCGCCGGGGGACCCAAACUCUUGUAUUUCUUUAGUAUCUUCUGAGUAAACAAGCAAAUAAAUUAAAACUUUCAACAACGGAUCUCUUGGUUCUGGCAUCGAUGAAGAACGCAGCGAAAUGCGAUAAGUAAUGUGAAUUGCAGAAUUCCGUGAAUCAUCGAAUCUUUGAACGCACAUUGCGCCCGCCAGUAUUCUGGCGGGCAUGCCUGUUCGAGCGUCAUUUCAACCCUCAAGCCCCCGGGCUUGGUGUUGGGGCUCGGCCCGUCCCUAGCGGCGCGCCGUCCCCGAAAUCUAGUGGCGGUCACGCUGUACUCCUCUGCGUAGUAAUCUAACCUCGCAACGGGACAAAGCGCGGCCACGCCGUUAAACCCCCAACUUCUGAAGGUUGACCUCGGAUCAGG